rnacentral:rRNA from 1 species
UACGUAGGGGCUAGCGUUGUCCGGAAUCAUUGGGCGUAAAGAGCGUGUAGGCGGUCCGGUAAGUCCGCUGUGAAAGUCGGGGCUCAACCCUCGAAUGCCGGUGGAUACUGUCGGGCUAGAGUGCGGAAGAGGCGAGUGGAAUUCCUGGUGUAGCGGUGAAAGUGACGCAGAUAUCAGGAGGAACACCUAUUGCGAAGGCAGCUCGCUGGGACGUAACUGACGCUGAGACGCGAAAGCGUGGGGAGCAAACAGG